rnacentral:sRNA from 1 species
UUUUUGCGUGAGGGAUUGCAGUGGAAAUCCUUUUAUUUUUUCUUUAAAAAUAAAAGAUUGCAACGGAAAGCCCGACCCUUG